AGAGUUUGAUCCUGGCUCAGGACGAACGCUGGCGGCGUGCUUAAUACAUGCAAGUCGAGCGAGGUUACUGUUUCGGAUCCCUUCGGGGUGAAGAAGCUUUAACCUAGCGGCGGACGGGUGAGUAACGCGUGGGUAACCUACCCCAAAGUCCGGGAUAACAGCGGGAAACCGCUGCUAAUACCGGAUGCCUUUACCUUGGGGCAUCUUGAGGUAAAGAAAGGUAACGCUUUGGGAUGGGCCCGCGUCCCAUUAGCUAGUUGGUGAGGUAACGGCUCACCAAGGCGACGAUGGGUAGCCGGCCUGAGAGGGUGGACGGCCACACUGGGACUGAGACACGGCCCAGACUCCUACGGGAGGCAGCAGUAGGGAAUAUUGCGCAAUGGACGGAAGUCUGACGCAGCGACGCCGCGUGAGCGAUGAAGGUCUUCGGAUCGUAAAGCUCUGUCCUUGGGGAAGAAGGUCUUCGGACUUGACGGUACCCAAGAAGAAAGCCCCGGCUAACUACGUGCCAGCAGCCGCGGUAAUACGUAGGGGGCGAGCGUUGUCCGGAAUUACUGGGCGUAAAGGGUGCGUAGGCGGCCCUUUAAGUCGGAUGUGAAAGCCCGCGGCUUAACCGCGGAAUGGCAUUCGAAACUGGAGGGCUUGAGUGUCGGAGAGGGUAGUGGAAUUCCCAGUGUAGCGGUGAAAUGCGUAGAUAUUGGGAGGAACACCAGUGGCGAAGGCGACUACCUGGACGAUAACUGACGCUGAGGCACGAAAGCUAGGGGAGCAAACAGGAUUAGAUACCCUGGUAGUCCUAGCCGUAAACGAUGGGUACUANGGUGUGGGUGGUUUCGAUACCAUCCGUGCCGUANUUAACGCAUUAAGUACCCCGCCUGGGGAGUACGUGCGCAAGCAUGAAACUCAAAUGAAUUGACGG
rnacentral:rRNA from 1 species